rnacentral:rRNA from 1 species
CCUACGGGGGGCAGCAGUGAGGAAUAUUGGUCAAUGGGCGCAAGCCUGACCCAGCAAUGCCGCGUGAAGGAAGAAGGCUUUCGGGUUGUAAACUUCUUUGACAGGGGAAGAGCAGAAGACGGUACCCUGAAAACAAGCCACGGCUAACUACGUGCCAGCAGCCGCGGUAAUACGUAGGUGGCAAGCGUUGUCCGGAUUUACUGGGUGUAAAGGGCGUGUAGCCGGGAAGGCAAGUCAGAUGUGAAAUCUGGAGGCUCAACCUCCAAAUUGCAUUUGAAACUGUUUUUCCUGAGUACUGGAGAGGCAGACGGAAUUCCUUGUGUAGCGGUGAAAUGCGUAGAUAUAAGGAGGAACACCAGUGGCGAAGGCGGUCUGCUGGACAGCAACUGACGGUGAGGCGCGAAAGCGUGGGGAGCAAACAGGAUUAGAUACCCCGGUAGUC